AACGAACGCUGGCGGCAUGCCUAACACAUGCAAGUCGAACGAGACCUUCGGGUCUAGUGGCGCACGGGUGCGUAACGCGUGGGAACCUGCCCUUAGGUUCGGAAUAACUCCCCGAAAGGGGUGCUAAUACCGGAUAAUUUCUUCGGACCAAAGAUUUAUCGCCUUUGGAUGGGCCCGCGUUGGUUUAGCUAGUUGGUAGGGUAAAAGCCUACCAAGGCGACGAUCCAUAGCUGGUCUGAGAGGAUGAUCAGCCACACUGGGACUGAGACACGGCCCAGACUCCUACGGGAGGCAGCAGUGGGGAAUAUUGGACAAUGGGCGAAAGCCUGAUCCAGCAAUGCCGCGUGAGUGAUGAAGGCCUUAGGGUUGUAAAGCUCUUUUACCCGGGAUGAUAAUGACAGUACCGGGAGAAUAAGCGCCGGCUAACUCCGUG
rnacentral:rRNA from 1 species